AUUGAACGCUGGCGGCAGGCUUAACACAUGCAAGUCGAGCGGGGUGAUGGUGCUUGCACUAUCACUUAGCGGCGGACGGGUGAGUAAUGCUUAGGAAUCUGCCUAUUAGUGGGGGACAACAUCUCGAAUGGGAUGCUAAUACCGCAUACGUCCUACGGAGGAAAGCAGGGGAUCACUUGUGACCUUGCGCUAAUAGAUGAGCCUAAGUCGGAUUAGCUAGUUGGUGGGGUAAAGGCCUACCAAGGCGACGAUCUGUAGCGGGUCGGAGAGGAUGAUCCGCCACACUGGGACUGAAACACGGCCCAGACUCCUACGGGAGGCAGCAGUGGGGAAUAUUGGACAGUGGGGCGAACCCUGAUCCAGCCAUGCCGCGUGUGUGAAGAAGGCCUUAUGGUUGUAAAGCACGUUAAGCGAGGAGGAGGCUCUUUUGGUUAAUACCCAGAAUGAGUGGACGUUACUCGCAGAAUAAGCACCGGCUAACUCUGUGCCAGCCGCCGCGGUAA
rnacentral:rRNA from 1 species